rnacentral:rRNA from 1 species
UACGUAGGGGCCAAGCGUUGUCCGGAUUUAUUGGGCGUAAAGAGCUCGUAGGCGGUGUGUCACGUCGGCCGUGAAAACCUGCAGCUUAACUGUGGGCGUGCGGUCGAUACGGGCAUCACUGGAGUUCGGCAGGGGAGACUGGAAUUCCUGGUGUAGCGGUGAAAUGCGCAGAUAUCAGGAGGAACACCGGUGGCGAAGGCGGGUCUCUGGGCCGAUACUGACGCUGAGGAGCGAAAGCGUGGGGAGCGAACAGG